GAUGAACGCUGGCGGCGUGCCUAAUACAUGCAAGUCGAGCGAACGGACGAGAAGCUUGCUUCUCUGAUGUUAGCGGCGGACGGGUGAGUAGCACGUGGAUAACCUACCUAUAAGACUGGGAUAACUUCGGGAAACCGUAGCUAAUACCGGAUAAUAUUUUGAACCGCAUGGUUCAAAAGUGAAAGACGGUUUUGCUGUCACUUAUAGAUGGAUCCGCGCUGCAUUAGCUAGUUGGUAAGGUAACGGCUUACCAAGGCAACGAUGCAUAGCCGACCUGAGAGGGUGAUCGGCCACACUGGAACUGAGACACGGUCCAGACUCCUACGGGAGGCAGCAGUAGGGAAUCUUCCGCAAUGGGCGAAAGCCUGACGGAGCAACGCCGCGUGAGUGAUGAAGGUCUUCGGAUCGUAAAACUCUGUUAUUAGGGAAGAACAAAUGUGUAAGUAACUAUGCACGUCUUGACGGUACCUAAUCAGAAAGCCACGGCUAACUACGUG
rnacentral:rRNA from 1 species